AAAAUACAUUACUUAUAUAGGAGAAUGAGAAUGGUGGAAACAUAAAGCUUGCUAGUUCUCUUGAAGUUCUUCUUGAAGCUUGCAGAGACAUUCAAUUCCAUGAGAAUGAGAAUGGUGGAGACAUAAACCUUGUUACUGCUAUUAACAUAUGGCAUCAAGUAUCAUCUAGUAUAUCAAGUGACAAGGCAAGAUGAAGUGUGUAUUACAAAAGCAGCAAUUUGAGAACUAUGGAGAGCCAUAGAUGAAGAUAAAUUUGUAUCUAUCAUAUUGAUUUUGUGACAUUUAUAUUCUAUGUAAAACAAAUU